UUACUUCCUUGUGUGGUACCUAUAUAAGGCAAUGGAAGAAGGUUUACAAUACUAGUAAUCGUCUGGAAAUCUCGCCAUUCUUUGUCACGUCGAUAGAAGGAAUAAAACCAUUCGCCAUGAAACUAUUACUUUUUAUUACAUUGAUUUUAUCAAUCGUUGCUUGGGCAAGUGCAAAAUCAAAACUUUUCUGUGAAAUAGCGUGCGGAUCUCACUACGUUCCUGUCUGUGCCACUAAUGGACAAACAUAUGACAACAGAUGCUUUUGUGACUGCCGCGGCGCAACGUUUGCUCACAACGGCGUUUGCAAAUCCGAUGUACAACCUAAUGAGGAAGAUUCUAGUACUCAGGCCGAAUAAAGAGCAAGGAGCAUACAUCAUGAAAAAAAUAAAAAAUUGUAAUAAAAUUGGAAACAAAUUAAAGCAAUAAAUCAUUAAAA